CGGGUGAGUAACGCGUGAGUAACCUGCCUUUCAGAGGGGGAUAACGUUCUGAAAAGAACGCUAAUACCGCAUGAGACUACAGAGCUGCAUGGCUCAGUGGUCAAAGGAGCAAUCCGCUGAAAGAUGGACUCGCGUCCGAUUAGAUAGUAGGCGGGGUAACGGCCCACCUAGUCGACGAUCGGUAGCCGGACUGAGAGGUUGAACGGCCACAUUGGGACUGAGACACGGCCCAG
rnacentral:rRNA from 1 species